rnacentral:rRNA from 1 species
UACGGGGGGAGCAAGCGUUGUCCGGAUUCAUUGGGCGUAAAGGGCGUGUAGGCGGAUCUGUAUGUCGGUGGUGAAAAUCUGGGGCUCAACCCCAGACCUGCCCCCGAAACUGCAAAUCUUGAGUGCAGGAGAGGGAACUGGAAUUCCUGGUGUAGCGGUGGAAUGCAUAGAUAUCAGGAAGAACACCGGUUGCGAAGGCGAGUUCCUGGCCUGACACUGACGCUGAGGCGCGAAAGCGUGGGGAGCAAACAGGAUUAGAUACCCCCGUA